ACAACCCAGAAAAUAAAAGAGAAAACCGAAGAAACAGCAAAAGAAACUUAUAUAAAAGCCGAAGCUUGCUUUCUUUUCUUGGUUUUGCACUAAAUUCUUGGAUAUUGGCUAUAAGAAAACGAGAGAGAAAGGCCAAGGGUCAGAGGCAGAAAUGGCAAGCUUGAAAAGGGUAAAAGAAGAGCCUGUAAGAGAUCUUGGUAUGUUGCUCAUGAUAUAUGAGAAUCAAAGAAGAACAACAUAAGCACAAGAAAGAAAGAUUGAGAGGUCAUUGUGCUGUGAAGAUUGGUUUUUAUAUAUAUAAAUAUAAAUAUAUAUAGGAGUGGAUGGUUAGACUAUACACACAAAAAGGUUAUUCAAGAGACAGAAACAGCUAGAGUUGCAAAGAGCUCACAUCCUGGGAAGGUCUUUUUUUUUUCUCCAAUGAUUUGCUGUCUAGGAAAAGAGAAGGUAAUAAUACAUAAAAAUGAUUUCACAGCUGGGAUCGAAACACGCUAUAUAUUUACAGGUAAUUUGCUUGAAAUAUUUGACUUUUAACAAGGAA
rnacentral:lncRNA from 1 species